GGGUUGUGAGGUUAAGCGACUAAGCGUACACGGUGGAUGCCCUGGCAGUCAGAGGCGAUGAAGGACGUGCUAAUCUGCGAUAAGCGCCGGUAAGGUGAUAUGAACCGUUAUAACCGGCGAUUUCCGAAUGGGGAAACCCAGUGUGACUCGUCACACUAUCAUUAACUGAAUCCAUAGGUUAAUGAGGCGAACCGGGGGAACUGAAACAUCUAAGUACCCCGAGGAAAAGAAAUCAACCGAGAUUCCCCCAGUAGCGGCGAGCGAACGGGGAGGAGCCCAGAGCCUGAAUCAGCAUGUGUGUUAGUGGAAGCGUCUGGAAAGGCGCGCGAUACAGGGUGACAGCCCCGUACACAAAAGCGCAUGUGCUGUGAGCUCGAUGAGUAGGGCGGGACACGUGGUAUCCUGUCUGAAUAUGGGGGGACCAUCCUCCAAGGCUAAAUACUCCUGACUGACCGAUAGUGAACCAGUACCGUGAGGGAAAGGCGAAAAGAACCCCGGCGAGGGGAGUGAAAAAGAACCUGAAACCGUGUACGUACAAGCAGUGGGAGCACAGGUUUACCUGUGUGACUGCGUACCUUUUGUAUAAUGGGUCAGCGACUUAUAUUCUGUAGCAAGGUUAACCGCAUAGGGGAGCCGCAGGGAAACCGAGUCUUAACCGGGCGUUAAGUUGCAGGGUAUAGACCCGAAACCCGGUGAUCUAGCCAUGGGCAGGUUGAAGGUUGGGUAACACUAACUGGAGGACCGAACCGACUAAUGUUGAAAAAUUAGCGGAUGACCUGUGGCUGGGGGUGAAAGGCCAAUCAAACCGGGAGAUAGCUGGUUCUCCCCGAAAGCUAUUUAGGUAGCGCCUCGUGAAUUCAUCUCCGGGGGUAGAGCACUGUUUCGGCUAGGGGGUCAUCCCGACUUACCAACCCGAUGCAAACUGCGAAUACCGGAGAAUGUUAUCACGGGAGACACACGGCGGGUGCUAACGUCCGUCGUGAAGAGGGAAACAACCCAGACCGCCAGCUAAGGUCCCAAAGUCAUGGUUAAGUGGGAAACGAUGUGGGAAGGCCCAGACAGCCAGGAUGUUGGCUUAGAAGCAGCCAUCAUUUAAAGAAAGCGUAAUAGCUCACUGGUCGAGUCGGCCUGCGCGGAAGAUGUAACGGGGCUAAACCAUGCACCGAAGCUGCGGCAGCGAACGUAUCACCCAAGACAACUUUGCGGAGUUGACGAUUGACGGAGCGAAGCGACGUCAAAGCGUUCAUUAAAGUCGAGUUGGCUUAGGGAUACGUUCGUUGGGUAGGGGAGCGUUCUGUAAGCCUGUGAAGGUGUGCUGUGAGGCAUGCUGGAGGUAUCAGAAGUGCGAAUGCUGACAUAAGUAACGAUAAAGCGGGUGAAAAGCCCGCUCGCCGGAAGACCAAGGGUUCCUGUCCAACGUUAAUCGGGGCAGGGUGAGUCGACCCCUAAGGCGAGGCCGAAAGGCGUAGUCGAUGGGAAACGGGUUAAUAUUCCCGUACUUGGUGUUACUGCGAAGGGGGGACGGAGAAGGCUAUGUUGGCCGGGCGACGGUUGUCCCGGUUUAAGCGUGUAGGUGUGUGUUCCAGGUAAAUCCGGUUCACUUUAACACUGAGGCGUGACGACGAGGCACUACGGUGCUGAAGCAACAAAUGCCCUGCUUCCAGGAAAAGCCUCUAAGCAUCAGGUAACAUCAAAUCGUACCCCAAACCGACACAGGUGGUCAGGUAGAGAAUACCAAGGCGCUUGAGAGAACUCGGGUGAAGGAACUAGGCAAAAUGGUGCCGUAACUUCGGGAGAAGGCACGCUGACAUGUAGGUGAAGUGAUUUACUCAUGGAGCUGAAGUCAGUCGAAGAUACCAGCUGGCUGCAACUGUUUAUUAAAAACACAGCACUGUGCAAACACGAAAGUGGACGUAUACGGUGUGACGCCUGCCCGGUGCCGGAAGGUUAAUUGAUGGGGUCAGCGCAAGCGAAGCUCCUGAUCGAAGCCCCGGUAAACGGCGGCCGUAACUAUAACGGUCCUAAGGUAGCGAAAUUCCUUGUCGGGUAAGUUCCGACCUGCACGAAUGGCGUAAUGAUGGCCAGGCUGUCUCCACCCGAGACUCAGUGAAAUUGAACUCGCUGUGAAGAUGCAGUGUACCCGCGGCAAGACGGAAAGACCCCGUGAACCUUUACUAUAGCUUGACACUGAACAUUGAGCCUUGAUGUGUAGGAUAGGUGGGAGGCUUUGAAGUGUGGACGCCAGUCUGCAUGGAGCCGACCUUGAAAUACCACCCUUUAAUGUUUGAUGUUCUAACGUGGACCCGUAAUCCGGGUUGCGGACAGUGUCUGGUGGGUAGUUUGACUGGGGCGGUCUCCUCCUAAAGAGUAACGGAGGAGCACGAAGGUUGGCUAAUCCUGGUCGGACAUCAGGAGGUUAGUGCAAUGGCAUAAGCCAGCUUGACUGCGAGCGUGACGGCGCGAGCAGGUGCGAAAGCAGGUCAUAGUGAUCCGGUGGUUCUGAAUGGAAGGGCCAUCGCUCAACGGAUAAAAGGUACUCCGGGGAUAACAGGCUGAUACCGCCCAAGAGUUCAUAUCGACGGCGGUGUUUGGCACCUCGAUGUCGGCUCAUCACAUCCUGGGGCUGAAGUAGGUCCCAAGGGUAUGGCUGUUCGCCAUUUAAAGUGGUACGCGAGCUGGGUUUAGAACGUCGUGAGACAGUUCGGUCCCUAUCUGCCGUGGGCGCUGGAGAACUGAGGGGGGCUGCUCCUAGUACGAGAGGACCGGAGUGGACGCAUCACUGGUGUUCGGGUUGUCAUGCCAAUGGCACUGCCCGGUAGCUAAAUGCGGAAGAGAUAAGUGCUGAAAGCAUCUAAGCACGAAACUUGCCCCGAGAUGAGUUCUCCCUGAGACUUUAGGUCUCCUGAAGGAACGUUGAAGACGACGACGUUGAUAGGCCGGGUGUGUAAGCGCAGCGAUGCGUUGAGCUAACCGGUACUAAUGAACCGUGAGGCUUAACCUUACAACGCCGAAG
rnacentral:rRNA from 1 species